UUAUAUUUAGAAUUUAAUUUUUUAGUUAAAAAGUUAAAAUAAAUUAGAAAGACGAGAAGACCCUAUAGAGUUUUAUAGAUAAAAUUAAUUGAGAUUAUUUGUAAAGGUUAAAAUUAAAAUUAAUUUAUUUAUUUUGUUGGGGUGACAGAAAAAUAUGAAAAACUUUUUAUAUGUUUAAAACAUUAAUAAGUGGUUAAAUGAUCCAGUAUUAUUGAUUAUAAGAAAAAAUUACCUUAGGGAUAACAGCGUAAUUUUUUUUUUUAGUUCACAUAAAAAAAAAAGUUUGCGACCUCGAUGUUGGAUUAAGAUAAAAUUUAAAUGCAGAAG
rnacentral:rRNA from 1 species